rnacentral:rRNA from 1 species
CAGUCGCCACGGUAAUACGAAGGGGGCUAGCGUUGUUCGGAAUUACUGGGCGUAAAGGGCGCGUAGGCGGCCAUUCAAGUUAGAUGUGAAAGCCCUGGGCUCAACCUAGGAAUUGCAUUUGAUACUGUUUGGCUUGAGUUCGGGAGAGGUGAGUGGAAUUCCCAGUGUGGAGGUGAAAUUCGUAGAGAUCGGGAGGAACAUCAGUGGCGAAGGCGGCCAUCUGGGACAACACUGACGCUGAGGCACGAAAGCGUGGGGAGCAAACAGGAUUAGAUACCCCCGUAGUCCCUGUCUCUUAUAC